AGUCCUGUAGCUCAACGGUGGAGCAUCUGUCUUACAAACAGGGGGUUGCGGGUUCAAAUCCUGCCAGGACUACCA
rnacentral:tRNA from 3 species